rnacentral:rRNA from 1 species
UACAGAGGUCUCGAGCGUUGUUCGGAUUCAUUGGGCGUAAAGGGCGCGUAGGCGGCGGGGUAAGUCUGGUGUGAAAUCUCGGAGCUCAACUCCGAAAUUGCACUGGAUACUGCUCUGCUAGAGGGCUGGAGAGGAGAUCGGAAUUCACGGUGUAGCAGUGAAAUGCGUAGAUAUCUGAAGGAACAUCAGUGGCGAAAGCGACUUCCUGGACCAAUACUGACGCUCAUGUGCGAAAGCGUGGGGAGCAAACAGG